UUGCUGAUGGCUGAAAUUUGACCAGAUCUUGCAAAUCAGUAGAAAUCUGGAAGACGUGGCUGUAGAACUGCUGGACUGAAUUCUUCAGGCCAGAAAUGUCUCUGGAAUGCGACCUGAGCGUUCCGUUCAUCUGCCUGACACAGUUCCACAGGCUGCUGACCUGGCUCUGCAACCUCUGCCACCUCUCCUCCAGCUGACUGCAGCAAUGAGCCACGGGGUGCUGGGGGGACGGCAGGGUGUCCACUGUCCUUUCUUGCUCACCCACCUUAGUGAACCUACCCAUGCCAGCGUUUUCACCUGCUCUACAAUUGCUCAUUUCCUUUUGAAGAUGAGUCACAUCAUUUUCUGUGUGGUUUAAUUGAGAAUAAAGAAAACUAAAAUCCUGUUGAAGUUUCUGGAUGGUUUGUUCGGUUUCUUGAAACUUCCUGUGCAUCGUGUCGUUGAGAGAUUUCAAAAGGUGCAGGCUGUCGCGUACUGCGCGGUCUUCCCUGUUUGGCAAGGCACCUUCCAUCCCAUGAGGCUUUCCCUGGAUGUUCAGCAGGCAAAUGUCUUCAACAACUUGAACUUUGUCCUUCAGGUGGUUUAAUUCCAUCAUGACCCGUUCAUCUCCUGACCCUGACACUCCUGGCAGGGCUGCUGCCCCUGGGGGACUGAGCUCUGCACCAGUGUUAUUGGUCAUCUGUAGGAGAACGCUCCCCAGACGGUCUUCCAGAGACUGUAUUUUCUGAUCAACAAGCUGCUUCAAGUCACCCACCUCUCCAUUAAUGGCGCCCCGAAGGGUUUCCUCAAUGUAAAAGCAAUGUUCUUCAGCGUUCUUCUCCGUCACAUUGAUCCUUGCAUCGAGUUCAUUCCAUUUUGCAUCAAAAUCCACAUCUGGCUCUGGAACUAUAAGGCGGUCAAACUCAUUGUCCAGUCUUCCAUUCAGCAUUCUGGUGGCUUCAGCAACUCUCUCGAUUUUCUGGUCCAAUGUCUUGAUCUGUUGACCAAUGUCACCAUUCUUUUCACUGUCGCAGCAAUUUGCCUGGGCUGAAGGCUCCUGUAGCCGGGCUCGGAGGUUAUUUAUUUCUUUUCUCAGGCUUGUUUCCUUCUCCCCUAUGAGCUCUAUCACUCCCAGGUAGCUGCUCCCAUAGUCAUCACACUGCUGCUGGAGGCCAGUGAGCUUGUACUCACAUGAGUUUUUCAGGUCAGCCAGCUUUCUGUCCAUGCCCUCCAUGAGCUCCUCUCUCAGGGCGUCGAUCUUACUGUCCACAUAGGCUUGGUAGAGUUCGUUGGUUGUCAUGGUCACCGUCGGGCCCUGAGCUGCUUCCUGGAGCUGUCUGAGCUGCCCUUCGUAGCCCUUCACUUUUCCAUCCAGCUCUUCCAGCUUGUCACUUUUGUUCUUUAGAGUAUCUUUGACUUCAGCCAAUUCAGACUUGAUGUCCUUCAUGCCAGAUUCCUUAGUGUUGAAGACACCAGGACUCUGGCCCGUUUCUGUGUCUCCACUAACAGUGGUGUCAGGCUUGGGGUGCUGGCUGCUGAGCCCUGGUGCCCGUGUUCUACUGGCAUCAUCCUGAGUGGCAUGUUUGAGAUUUUCACUCACUCCAGCAAGGGAAGACUGGAGGUCAAGAACCGUCCUUGUGAGUCGAAGAACC
rnacentral:lncRNA from 1 species